rnacentral:tRNA from 1 species
UAAAUAUCUAAAUUUAAGUAUAUCAUUUACAAUGAUAAGAUGUUUUAAUUAACUUUAUUUAAUUUAUUUUAUUAUUAUUUUUUUUUUUA